rnacentral:lncRNA from 1 species
CAAGUAGUGAAGGUUGCUAGUCACAAUCACGUUAAGUAAAUUCUUGGCAUAAGUUUCAUGCAAAUCAUAGUAACAAGUGCUUCGUUAAUGCUUAUGGUUUUCAUAGAAUUUAAUGAUUCUUGCUUGUAUCUCUAUUAUGCAAUCAUGUAGGGGACUUGUGGGGAAUGUUUUGGGUUGUCGUAUGCAAUCAUCCAAUUCAAUAACGUUAGGAAAAUCUGAAGGUUAAUUUAAGCGGACCUAAUUAACUUGGGGCGUUGAGAAUUCAUGGUUUAUUAAAAUGCAAUUGGAAAUCGUUUUGUAUGCAAGUAUAACAUGUGUGGAUGAAACCCUUAGCUAGCCUUCCAUUAUCCAUUCAACCCAAAAUUGUUUAAAAUCUAUUUAAGUUUUUAGUUUAUUCGUUUUUACUUUCAACCUCACCAAACUCAAAUCCCCCUUUUACUUUCUUGUUUUAAAAUCUUUUGUUUACAUUUUUAACUUUGUUUCUUUUUGUUUUUUAGUCAGUUUAGAGGUUUUAGCAAGCCCUCCUAAUCCCCGGUUUAGAACGAUCCCUACUUACAUACUUUGCUACAAUUGUCAAAAGAGGGUUUAAUUUGUGUGUCAAGUAAUUCUCGCAUCAGUCUCCACACCAAGGGUGAGGUGUGAAGAUGAAAUGGAUGACUUAGAGAAGAAAAGAUUGCUAGAUAAAUCUCCUCUAAGUGGCCGGCCUCCUUGUUGAAAAAGAGAGAAUAGGUUUCACCUAUUUUCUACAAGAAAAAACCCAAAUGAGAAAAAUAGCUAUAAAGUUGCUUUUAUAACACUUUUCUUAG